UAAGCCAGUAAGGUCUCGGGUAGACUACCCGUUGAUAGGCUCUAGAUGGAAGCUCGGUAACGAGUGCAGUCGAGGAGUACUAACCGACCGAGGGCUUGACCUG
rnacentral:rRNA from 1 species